CAUGUACUCCCUCCGUUUGGAAAUACUUGUCCUAGAAAUGGUUGUAUCUAGAACUAGAGUUCUAGAUACAAUCAUUUCUAGGACAAGUAUUUCCGAAUGGAGGGAGUAUAUC
rfam:Triticum urartu cultivar G1812 contig513937, whole genome shotgun sequence.